rnacentral:rRNA from 1 species
GCCCCGUACACAAAAGCGCAUGUGCUGUGAGCUCGAUGAGUAGGGCGGGACACGUGGUAUCCUGUCUGAAUAUGGGGGGACCAUCCUCCAAGGCUAAAUACUCCUGACUGACCGAUAGUGAACCAGUACCGUGAGGGAAAGGCGAAAAGAACCCCGGCGAGGGGAGUGAAAAAGAACCUGAAACCGUGUACGUACAAGCAGUGGGAGCACCCUUUGGGGUGUGACUGCGUACCUUUUGUAUAAUGGGUCAGCGACUUAUAUUCUGUAGCAAGGUUAACCGAAUAGGGGAGCCGGAGGGAAACCGAGUCUUAAUUGGGCGUUAAGUUGCAGGGUAUAGACCCGAAACCCGGUGAUCUAGCCAUGGGCAGGUUGAAGGUUGGGUAACACUAACUGGAGGACCGAACCGACUAAUGUUGAAAAAUUAGCGGAUGACCUGUGGCUGGGGGUGAAAGGCCAAUCAAACCGGGAGAUAGCUGGUUCUCCCCGAAAGCUAUUUAGGUAGCGCCUCGUGAAUUCAUCUCCGGGGGUAGAGCACUGUUUCGGCUAGGGGGCCAUCCCGGCUUACCAACCCGAUGCAAACUGCGAAUACCGGAGAAUGUUAUCACGGGAGACACACGGCGGGUGCUAACGUCCGUCGUGAAGAGGGAAACAACCCAGACCGCCAGCUAAGGUCCCAAAGUCAUGGUUAAGUGGGAAACGAUGUGGGAAGGCCCAGACAGCCAGGAUGUUGGCUUAGAAGCAGCCAUCAUUUAAAGAAAGCGUAAUAGCUCACUGGUCGAGUCGGCCUGCGCGGAAGAUGUAACGGGGCUAAACCAUGCACCGAAGCUGCGGCAGCGACGCUGAUGCGUUGUUGGGUAGGGGAGCGUUCUGUAAGCCUGUGAAGGUGGCCUGUGAGGGUUGCUGGAGGUAUCAGAAGUGCGAAUGCUGACAUAAGUAACGAUAAAGCGGGUGAAAAGCCCGCUCGCCGGAAGACCAAGGGUUCCUGUCCAACGUUAAUCGGGGCAGGGUGAGUCGACCCCUAAGGCGAGGCCGAAAGGCGUAGUCGAUGGGAAACGGGUUAAUAUUCCCGUACUUGGUGUUACUGCGAAGGGGGGACGGAGAAGGCUAUGUUGGCCGGGCGACGGUUGUCCCGGUUUAAGCGUGUAGGUGUGUGUUCCAGGUAAAUCCGGUUCACUUUAACACUGAGGCGUGA